UGCGAAUGGCUCAUUAUAUAAGUUAUCGUUUAUUUGAUAGUACCUUACUACUUGGAUAACCGUGGUAAUUCUAGAGCUAAUACAUGCUAAAAAUCCCGACUUCGGAAGGGAUGUAUUUAUUAGAUUAAAAACCAAUGCCCUUCGGGGCUCACUGGUGAUUCAUGAUAACUCCUCGAAUCGCAUGGCCUUGUGCCGGCGAUGGUUCAUUCAAAUUUCUUCCCUAUCAACUUUCGAUGUUUGGGUAUUGGCCAAACAUGGUUGCAACGGGUAACGGAGGGUUAGGGCUCGACCCCGGAGAAGGAGCCUGAGAAACGGCUACUACAUCCAAGGAAGGCAGCAGGCGCGCAAAUUACCCAAUCCCGACACGGGGAGGUAGUGACAAUAAAUACUGAUACAGGGCUCUUUUGGGUCUUGUAAUUGGAAUGAGUACAAUUUAAAUCCCUUAACGAGGAACAAUUGGAGGGCAAGUCUGGUGCCAGCAGCCGCGGUAAUUCCAGCUCCAAUAGCGUAUAUUAAAGUUGUUGUGGUUAAAAAGCUCGUAGUUGAACCUUGGGCCUGGCUGGCCGGUCCGCCUCACCGCGUGUACUGGUCCGGCCGGGCCUUUCCCUCUGUGGAACCCCAUGCCCUUCACUGGGUGUGGCGGGGAAACAGGACUUUUACUGUGAAAAAAUUAGAGUGCUCCAGGCAGGCCUAUGCUCGAAUACAUUAGCAUGGAAUAAUAGAAUAGGACGUGUGGUUCUAUUUUGUUGGUUUCUAGGACCGCCGUAAUGAUUAAUAGGGACAGUCGGGGGCAUCAGUAUUCAAUUGUCAGAGGUGAAAUUCUUGGAUUUAUUGAAGACUAACUACUGCGAAAGCAUUUGCCAAGGAUGUUUUCAUUAAUCAGGAACGAAAGUUAGGGGAUCGAAGACGAUCAGAUACCGUCGUAGUCUUAACCAUAAACUAUGCCGACUAGGGAUCGGACGGUGUUAUUUUUUGACCCGUUCGGCACCUUACGAGAAAUCAAAGUGC
rnacentral:rRNA from 1 species